UGUUUUGGUUUUAUGCUUUGAGUGUUUUGUUUUUGUGUGUGUUGUGUGUGUGCGUGUGUGCGUGUGUGUUUGUUUGUGUUGUUUGGGAUUUGGACCUUCGUGUUUCUUCAAACCAUCUAUUCGUCAUGCUUUGAAGGUAUAUCCCGCAUGUUCGUUUCAUGUUCUGUAGUUGUGAUAAGAAUCUGUUUUGUCUGUAUAUUGUGCCUCAAGCUGCAGAGGCAGAGAGAAUCCCAAGAGAGCUCAGAGGAUUUUUUUCAUCUCCCUGUCUCGUUUCGAAUUGAGUUGCAGUGAUUCGAAUCUUAGGUAGUACAGGACCAUGCUGACGAGAACCUGAUAGUGUGAAGGGAAACCCCUUGCUUGUGUCAAGGGAAACCUCAUGCUGUGAUGAGAAAUCUGCUGUUGGUUUGAAAGGGUGCCUCCUCCUGCUGCUGAGAACAUUCUCCUGCUAAAGGCCAGUAGUGUAAAAAGGUCCCUGCUGGAGUGAAAGGAUGCCUCCUGCUGCUGUGAAGGAAAGCUGGUUACAUAUGUAAAUUGAAUCUUCCUGCUAAAAUCAAGGGUAACCAAAUGCUGAUGUGGGUUGAAUUAUGCUGCUUGUGUGAAGCUAAACAUCAAGCUAGAAUCAAGUAUAAAAUCUUGGUUGUUUCUUACCUGCUUCCAACGUUACUUAAGGAAAGUGUUCUCAUUGCCUUUCCAGGUUAUCUCCAACUGUUUGUUGACAGACUGCUUUGAUGAGUUUUGUUCUACUGAUACACGAAAGUUUGUUUUCUGCCUUUUUUGACAAAUAUUUUAAAUACCAGUAAAUCCUUAGCUGGUCGAUAGUUUGAUUUUUGAUAUUUCAAUUUGUAUGCUUGUUUUGCCCAGUGGUGGAUAUAAACUAAGUAUUUGAUUGUUUGAUCUUCUGAUGCCCUCAUAUUCUCAUGUGAUCUGGUGUCAAUUAGUGGCCUCUGUUUAACGUUGUUUCACAAGACAUAGAAGCAUCCUUCCAGUUGAAUCUCCAUUUGGUUCUUUCAUUUAGUUGAUUAUCCUUCUUGUAUGUUCGAUCCAUUUAUGACACUCUGAAGGGGUAUCCCGCAUGUUCGUUUAAUGUUCUGAAGGUGUGAGAAGAAUCUGUUAUUUGUCUGUAAAUUGUGCCUCCAGGUGCAGAGAGAAUCCCAAGAGAGCUCAGAGGUUUUUUUCAUCUCCCUGUCUCGUUUCGUCUUGAGUUGCAGUGAUUCGAAUCUUAGGUAGUACAGGUAUGUAGUGAAGUGUCAGUUUACAGGUGUGUUUACAUUAGAUAAACACAGAUUAUAAACUGUUAGUCAUGUCUGCCAUCAUGGUGGUAAUCAUCUCUCCAGGCCUCCAACUUCUCACAAUAGCAAACUCUCUUAACCACUUGAUUGCAAGGCCAAUGCAGGUGUGAAGGAGUACCUCCUGCUAAAUAUUGAUGUAAACGAAAGCUUUCUGCCCAUGUGAAUGGAAGUGAUUUGUGCAUUUUUAACUCGAACUGAUACUAAACACUGCCAUUAGUCAAUGGAACCCUUUUCCUGCAUUAUUUUCUAAUCGCAUGCACACAUAUGACUCUUUUGCAAAACCAGCAGCUCAGUUAGUUAAUGGCAAGGAAAUCGCAAGCACCCUGUGUACGAGCAAGUUGGUGCCUCACUAUACGAAUGUUGGCUCUAAUCCCUGAUGGAACUCACUCCCAAAGUACUAGAAAAUGCAAAACACAUUAUCAUUGUAUCACUUGUUUGGCAGGACCAUGCUGACGAGAACCUGAGAGUGUCAAGGGAAACCCCUUGCUUGUGUCAAGGGAAACCUCAUGCUGUGAUGAGAAAUCUGCUGUUGGUUUGAAAGGGUGCCUCCUCCUGCUGCUGAGAACACCCUCCUGCUAAAGGCGAAGUGUGAAAAGGUUAGCUUGUCCAUGCAAGCUCCUGGUAGGUGCAAGGGAAUGUUUGCAUAAGUUCCGAAGGUGUGAGAAGAAUCUGUUUUGUGUCUGUAAAUUGUGCCUCCAGGUGCUGCUGAGGCAAUCCCAAGAGAGCUGAGAAAGGUUUCUCUAUCUGUUUACCUCGUCUUCGUUUGCUGUGAUUCGAGUCUUAGGAAGUACAGAGAUGUUGUGAAGUGACCAUGCUGGCGAGAACACACCUGAUGGUGUAAAGGGAAACCCCUUGCUUGUGUCAAGGGAAACCUCCUGCUGUGCUGGGAAAUCUGCUGUUUGUGUGAAGUGGUACCUCCUCCUGCUGAGAAGAUGCUAACGGCCAGUAGAGCUAAAAGGUUAGCUUG